UACGGGGGGGGCAAGCGUUGUUCGGAAUUACUGGGCGUAAAGGGCGCGUAGGCGGCCUGCUAAGUCGGACGUGAAAUCCCUCGGCUCAACCGGGGAACUGCGUCCGAUACUGGUGGGCUCGAAUCCGGGAGAGGGAUGUGGAAUUCCAGGUGUAGCGGUGAAAUGCGUAGAUAUCCGGAGGAACACCGGUGGCGAAGGCGGCUUCCUGGACCGACACUGACGCUGAGGCGCGAAAGCUAGGGGAGCAAACGGG
rnacentral:rRNA from 1 species